AACGGCCCACCAAGGCUACGAUCAGUAGGGGUUCUGAGAGGAAGGUCCCCCACAUUGGAACUGAGACACGGUCCAAACUCCUACGGGAGGCAGCAGUGAGGAAUAUUGGUCAAUGGGCGAGAGCCUGAACCAGCCAAGUAGCGUGCAGGAUAACGGCCCUAUGGGUUGUAAACUGCUUUUACGCGGGGAUAAAGUGCGUGACGUGUCGCGCAUCGCAGGUACCGCGUGAAUAAGGACCGGCUAAUUCCGUGCCAGCAGCCGCGGUAAAU
rnacentral:rRNA from 1 species